AGCUCUCAAACCUUUACUUUAUUGAAAAGGUUUGGAUUUGGGUGUCUUUGCGGGACUUGCAAAAGUUCGGCUCACCCUAAAUGCAUUAGCUGGCUUUUGGGUCCGCGACUCGGUGUGAUAAUUGUCACUCGCUGGGUCCGCUCUCCUGUGGAAGCCGCUUCCAAUCGUCUUUGGACAAUUUUCAAGU
rnacentral:misc_RNA from 1 species